AUUGAACGCUGGCGGCAGGCCUAACACAUGCAAGUCGAGCGGAGCGGCGGACGGGUGCGUAAUGUAUGGGGAUCUGCCCGAUAGGGGGGGAUAACUACUGGAAACGGUGGCUAAUACCGCAUACUAUCGGAUGAACCCAUAUGGGAUUAGCUAGUUGGUGGGGUAAAGGCAUACUAAGGCGACGCUCCGUAACUGGUCAGAGAGGAUGAGCAGUCACACGGGAACUGGGACACGGUCCAGACUCUUACGGGAGGCAGCAGUGGGGAAUAUUGGACAAGGGGCGAAAGCCUGAUGCAGCCAUGCCGCGUGGGUGAAGAAGGUCUUCGGAUUGUAAAGCACUUUAAGUUGGGAGGCGUUACCAACAGAAUAAGCACCGGCUAACUUCGUGCCAGCAGCCGCGGUAAUAC
rnacentral:rRNA from 1 species